UAAGAUGUUUAUUGAAUUACUAAUAUAACGUUUUAACUACAUAAAUACUUGUACGUGUUUAGAGCUUGCGUGUACUGCAUAACGUUGAAUCUAAUAAUUUACUGCAAUACUACAAUUUUUUUGCGAGUGUUUCAAAUGAUUUGACUGCGUUAGAAAAGCACAACAUUUUGAUAUUUUCAUAAAUCAUAAAAAAAGACACUGUACACACCAUGCAUGUUAUGUUUUUCAUGCAUACAUUUUCACUUUGACUUUACAUAUAUACGUAUUUAUCAUUUUCGGAAGAUAUCUGGCUACUCUAGCCAUAGAUCAAGAUCGCCACUUGCUGAGGCGUCCUAAAGAUCUUCAAGUCCCGAGAUUACAGGCAAGGGAAGAGGCAGGGGAAGCACUAGAGGCAGGGCAAGGGGGAUCAAUCACGUGGAAGGAGUAUGCGAAGAAACAGGUCUAGAGGGCCAUCCAGUUCAACCAGACAUGACCUUAUCCGACAGCGGAGAGACGAGAGGUUAACCCAGUUAAAGUCUCAGGUCGAACAGAUGUCUGCGGAGGGACAUGAGAUUAGUGAUGCAGGUCUGUGAGAGAGACCUAUCACUAAUUCUUGACGUUGUUCACCACACGAUACAGGAGGAGCGGAGUCAUGGUGACUACUACCCAUUGCCAGGCAGUGACUGUCCAGACUGGUGCGUUUGUGGUCGAUGUCGCGAGAUGUCCUCAGAAGAGAAGGGAGAGUGCUGUAGACAAACUCCUGUGAACUGCAUCUGUUCACAACCGGAUUUUGACUACAUAGUGCUUGAUCCUUUGGUUUUAUUGCUGGCUCGUAGGCACAGGCAAGUAAUAAUUCGUUGCUACACUGCCUGGUCUUGAAAAAUGUGGGCCUGUCAUGGUAAUA